UUUAGAAUUCCUACGCUUUACCGUACAAUUUUAUCGGCAAAGCGUUUGAAUUGUAAAAC
rnacentral:pre_miRNA from 2 species